CGUACCCCAAACCGACACAGGUGGUCAGGUAGAGAAUACCAAGGCGCUUGAGAGAACUCGGGUGAAGGAACUAGGCAAAAUGGUGCCGUAACUUCGGGAGAAGGCACGCUGAUAUGUAGGUGAAGCGACUUGCUCGUGGAGCUGAAAUCAGUCGAAGAUACCAGCUGGCUGCAACUGUUUAUUAAAAACACAGCACUGUGCAAACACGAAAGUGGACGUAUACGGUGUGACGCCUGCCCGGUGCCGGAAGGUUAAUUGAUGGGGUCAGCGCAAGCGAAGCUCUUGAUCGAAGCCCCGGUAAACGGCGGCCGUAACUAUAACGGUCCUAAGGUAGCGAAAUUCCUUGUCGGGUAAGUUCCGACCUGCACGAAUGGCGUAAUGAUGGCCAGGCUGUCUCCACCCGAGACUCAGUGAAAUUGAACUCGCUGUGAAGAUGCAGUGUACCCGCGGCAAGACGGAAAGACCCCGUGAACCUUUACUAUAGCUUGACACUGAACAUUGAGCCUUGAUGUGUAGGAUAGGUGGGAGGCUUAGAAGUGUGGACGCCAGUCUGCAUGGAGCCGACCUUGAAAUACCACCCUUUAAUGUUUGAUGUUCUAACGUUGACCCGUAAUCCGGGUUGCGGACAGUGUCUGGUGGGUAGUUUGACUGGGGCGGUCUCCUCCUAAAGAGUAACGGAGGAGCACGAAGGUUGGCUAAUCCUGGUCGGACAUCAGGAGGUUAGUGCAAUGGCAUAAGCCAGCUUGACUGCGAGCGUGACGGCGCGAGCAGGUGCGAAAGCAGGUCAUAGUGAUCCGGUGGUUCUGAAUGGAAGGGCCAUCGCUCAACGGAUAAAAGGUACUCCGGGGAUAACAGGCUGAUACCGCCCAAGAGUUCAUAUCGACGGCGGUGUUUGGCACCUCGAUGUCGGCUCAUCACAUCCUGGGGCUGAAGUAGGUCCCAAGGGUAUGGCUGUUCGCCAUUUAAAGUGGUACGCGAGCUGGGUUUAGAACGUCGUGAGACAGUUCGGUCCCUAUCUGCCGUGGGCGCUGGAGAACUGAGGGGGGCUGCUCCUAGUACGAGAGGACCGGAGUGGACGCAUCACUGGUGUUCGGGUUGUCAUGCCAAUGGCACUGCCCGGUAGCUAAAUGCGGAAGAGAUAAGUGCUGAAAGCAUCUAAGCACGAAACUUGCC
rnacentral:rRNA from 1 species